GAUGAACGCUGGCGGCGUGCCUAAUACAUGCAAGUCGAGCGAACAGACGAGGAGCUUGCUCCUCUGACGUUAGCGGCGGACGGGUGAGUAACACGUGGAUAACCUACCUAUAAGACUGGGAUAACUUCGGGAAACCGGAGCUAAUACCGGAUAAUAUAUUGAACCGCAUGGUUCAAUGGUGAAAGACGGUUUUGCUGUCACUUAUAGAUGGAUCCGCGCCGUAUUAGCUAGUUGGUAAGGUAACGGCUUACCAAGGCAACGAUGCGUAGCCGACCUGAGAGAGUGAUCGGCCACCCUGGAACUGAGACACGGUCCAGACUCCUACGGGAGGGAGCAGUAGGGAAUCUUCCGCAAUGGGCGAAAGCCUGACGGAGCAAGGCCGCGUGAGUGAUGAAGGUCUUCGGAUCGUAAAACUCUGUUAUUAGGGAAGAACAAAUGUGUAAGUAACUAUGCACGUCUUGACGGUACCUAAUCAGAAAGCCACGGCUAACUACGUG
rnacentral:rRNA from 1 species